GCUUGUUGAAUCCUAAGAUUAUGAAGAACGUUCUUGUCAUCCGAUGAUCUGGUAUUUGUUGGACUAUCACAGUCUCCUGAGGAUUGCCAUGCCAAAGGCCAUGUUGUUGUAUAUUUCAAAAGCCAAGAUGAGACUUCCUGAGUCCAGAGAACCUUGAGAGUGUCCGAGAUUUCUUCUCCAACAACAGUGGCCCAGGUCUCCUCAUUUCCAAUAGCAGCUUUCUGAGGAAUAUCCACUGUACACUGGCCUUUGAAGGCCAGUGUGGGAAGUAAAAUCAUGCAGUCAUAUGGAGUUUGGAACUUCACUCUCAGACCAAGGGGGAUAACUCCAUUUUGAAUGAGAUCAUGGACCCCAGUCAUCACUGAAACUUCACAACUUUAUUUGGAAUCAUCUUUACUUUUAAGAAUACAGAUUUAAAUUAAAGAGAGACUUCAGUAUGGAUGUACUUGACAUUGGAGAAGCUGAUGAUGAUGUUUGUCUAGCUCCAGCUCCAUUGGAACCAGACACGUAUACUUUAGAGGCAAAAAUCAACAGUAGAGCAAGCUAAGGUGAUGUCACUAGUGAUCUCAUCUCACGGACUGUCACUGUGACCCAGGACCAGGUGAUGUCACUCGUGAUCUCAUCUCACGGACUGUCACUGUGGCCCAGUCUGUCACUAGUGAUCUCAUCUCACAGACUCACUGUGCCCCAGGACCAGGAGAUGAUACAUCUUUAUCAUAGCCAUGCCAUCAUACAAGAUCAAAUUGAUUGGCUCUGUGGUAGAGCCGUGUUGCAGAAUUGCUAUGAACCUAUCAUACCCAAACUUUAGUCAAUUCAAUACAGAGUAGAGAGAUUGAUAUUGGAAAAACUGUGAUAGAGUUCUGGGGGAUGGUGUGUCAUGUUUAAAUAACAGAGAAGUAUUCUGUUGUAUUUUACUUCAUUUUGUUAAGUACCUUACAUGUGAAAUGUGUUUCCAUGUUUUUACUGUAAGAUGUGAAUUUGUAAUGCAGUUUACCAGCAUAUGACAAGCCAGUGACCUAUGAACUUACAACUUUUCAGGGUAUGCCACAGGUUCUAAUCCUGUUCUGUAAAUCAGGUCACGUCCCCACCCCUGAUU